ensembl:snRNA U6 U6 spliceosomal RNA
UCGCUUCAGUAGCACAUAUACUAAGGUUGGAACAACACAGAGAAGAUUAUUGUGGCCCCUGAGCAAGGAUGAUACACAAAUGCAUGAAGUGUCCCAUAUUCUU